rnacentral:rRNA from 1 species
UACGUAGGGACCGAGCGUUGUCCGGAAUCAUUGGGCGUAAAGAGCGUGUAGGCGGCCUUUUAAGUCCUGCGUGAAAUCCUGCGGCUCAACCGCAGACGGUCGUGGGAAACUGGAAGGCUAGAGUGCGGGAGAGGAGAGUGGAAUUCCCGGUGUAGCGGUGAAAUGCGCAGAUAUCGGGAAGAACACCCGUGGCGAAGGCGGCUCUCUGGAACGCAACUGACGCUGAGACGCGAAAGCGUGGGAGCAAACAGGAUUAGAAACCCUGAGUAC